UACGUAGGGUGCAAGCGUUAAUCGGAAUUACUGGGCGUAAAGCGUGCGCAGGCGGUUUUGUAAGUCUGACGUGAAAUCCCCGGGCUUAACCUGGGAACUGCGUUGGAGACUGCAAGGCUAGAAUCUGGUAGAGGGGGGUAGAAUUCCACGUGUAGCAGUGAAAUGCGUAGAGAUGUGGAGGAACACCGAUGGCGAAGGCAGCCCCCUGGGUCAAGAUUGACGCUCAUGCACGAAAGCGUGGGGAGCAAACAGG
rnacentral:rRNA from 1 species